AUUGAACGCUGGCGGCAGGCUUAACACAUGCAAGUCGAGCGAGCGGCGGACGGGUGAGUAAUGUCAGGGAAACUGCCUGAUGGAGGGGGAUAACUACUGGAAACGGUAGAUAAUACCGCAUACCAUCAGAUGUGCCCAGAUGGGAUGAGCUAGUAGGUGGGGUAAUGGCUCACCUAGGCGACGAUCCCUAGCUGGUCUGAGAGGAUGACCAGCCACCCUGGAACUGAGCCACGGUCCCGACUCCUACGGGUGGCAGCAGUGGGGAAUAUUUCACAUUGGUCGCAAGCCUGGUGCAGCCAUGCCGCUUGUGUGAAGAAGGCCUUCGGGUUGUAAAGCACUUUCAGCGAGGAGGCGUUACUCGCAGAAGAAGCACCGGCUAACUCCGUGCCAGCAGCCGCGGUAAUAC
rnacentral:rRNA from 1 species